UAUCUCUGUAGAGUCUGCAUAUCAAUAAGCGGAGGAAAAGAAACUAACUAGGAUUCCCUCAGUAACGGCGAGUGAAGCGGGAAGAGCUCAAAUUUGAAAUCUUCAAGGUUCUACCUUGACGAAUUGUAGUUUAAAGAAGUGUUUUCUGUUGGAGUUUUGGUAAAAGUUCUUUGGAAUAGGACAUCAUAGAGGGUGAGAAUCCCGUAUUUGACCAUUAUUUCCAACUUUGUGAUACACUUUCAAAGAGUCGGAUUGUUUGGGAAUGCAGUCCAAAAUGGGUGGUAAAUUUCAUCUAAAGCUAAAUACUGGCGAGAGACCGAUAGCGAACAAGUACCGUGAGGGAAAGAUGAAAAGAACUUUGAAAAGAGAGUUAAACAGUACGUGAAAUUGUCAAAAGGGAAGCGUUUGACACCAGUGUUGUUUUCUCGAAAAUCAAUUAAAAAGUGUUGGAUUUUGUAUUGUUAAGACCUUAUCAGCUUACUGUACUUUUUUCCUGCUCUUUUUAAUGCACUUUUCGUUUAACAAGUCAACAUCAAUUUCUUUUGUUGUAAAAGAGUCAUUGGAAGGUGGCUUUCACUUCGGUGAAAGUGUUUAUAGCCUUUGGCUUCUACAAUCGGAGAGAUUGAGGUCUGCAGCGUAGAUCCCUCGGGGUUAGAUACGUAGAUGCUAAGUUAUAGUUUUUUAUAGACAACUUGUUGACUAUAAUUAAUCAUGUAGCUUACUCGUUUGCGCUAUUUUACCUACGCUUAGGAUGUUGAUCUCUCACAGUCGAGC
rnacentral:rRNA from 1 species